rnacentral:tRNA from 1 species
AGCGGGGUGGAGGAAUGGCACCUCGUCAGGCUCAUAAUCUGAAGGUCCCGGUUCGAAUCCGGGCCCCGCAA